AGUGAACGCUGGCGGUAGGCCUAACACAUGCAAGUCGAACGGCAGCACAGUAAGAGCUUGCUCUUACGGGUGGCGAGUGGCGGACGGGUGAGGAAUACAUCGGAAUCUACUUUUUCGUGGGGGAUAACGUAGGGAAACUUACGCUAAUACCGCAUACGACCUACGGGUGAAAGCAGGGGAUCUUCGGACCUUGCGCGAUUGAAUGAGCCGAUGUCGGAUUAGCUAGUUGGCGGGGUAAAGGCCCACCAAGGCGACGAUCCGUAGCUGGUCUGAGAGGAUGAUCAGCCACACUGGAACUGAGAAAAGGUCCAGACUCCUAAGGGAGGCAGCAGUGGGGAAUAUUGGAAAAUGGGCGCAAGCCUGAUCCAGCCAUAACGCGUGGGUGAAGAAGGCCUUCGGGUUGUAAAGCCCUUUUGUUGGGAAAGAAAAGCAGCAGGUUAAUACCCCGCUGUUCUGACGGUACCCAAAGAAUAAGCACCGGCUAACUUCGUG
rnacentral:rRNA from 1 species